rfam:Gorilla gorilla gorilla genomic chromosome, chr8, whole genome shotgun sequence
GCCGGGUGUGAUGGCUCACGCCUGUAAUCCCGGCACUUUGGGAGGCCGAGGCAGGCGGAUCAUCUGAGGUCGGGAGUUCGAGACCAGCCUGGCCAACAUGGCGAAACCCUGUCUCUAUUAAAAAUACAAAAAUUAGCCAGGCNNNNNNNNNNGCCUGGCUAAUUUUUGUAUUUUUAAUAGAGACAGGGUUUCGCCAUGUUGGCCAGGCUGGUCUCGAACUCCCGACCUCAGAUGAUCCGCCUGCCUCGG